rnacentral:piRNA from 1 species
UACUGUCACCACCAUCUCAGAAGCU